AGCAGCCGCGGUAAUUCCAGCUCCAAUAGCGUAUAUUAAAGUUGUUGCAGUUAAAAAGCUCGUAGUUGAAUUUCGGAAUCAAUAUGUUGGUCGUGCCUCGGUACGUACUAGCUUAUUGGUUUCUUCCUUCUGAUGAACCAUGAUGUCAUUUAUUUGGUGUUAUGAGGAAUCAGGACUGUUACUUUGAAAAAAAUUAGAGUGUUUAAAGCAGGCUCACGCUUGAAUACAUUAGCAUGGAAUAAUGAAAUAGGACGUUUGAUUCUAUUUUGUUGGUUUCUAGGAUCGACGUAAUGAUUAAUAGGGAUAGUUGGGGGCAUUAGUAUUCAAUUGUCAGAGGUGAAAAUUCUUGGAUUUAUUGAAGACUAACUACUGCGAAAGCAUUUGCCAAGGAUGUUUUCAUUAAUCAAGAACGAAAAGUUAGGGGAUCGAAGACGAUCAGAUACCGUCGUAGUCUUAACCAUAAAACUAUGCCGACGUAGGAGUACGAUGAUAGUUUUAAAUUUUUAAUGUACUCUAGUUC
rnacentral:rRNA from 1 species